AUUAAUAAGCGGAGGAAAAGAAACCAACCGGGAUUCCCUGAGUAAGGGCGACUGAAAGGGGAUCAGCCCAGCGCAUAACCUCACGGUUUAGUUUUGGCCGUUGAGGGGUGUUGCGUUUCGGUGGAUCCGUACCGCUCGAUUUGCUGACCGCCUAAGUCAUUGCUUGAAUGCAGCCCCAUGGAGGGUGGUAGGCCCGUGUGGCGGCGCCUGUAAAAAGGUUGGAAGCAAGUUGGGCGGAGGGGUCUUUACCGUAGAGUCGGGUUGCUUAGUACUGCAGCCCUAAGUAGGUGGUAAACUCCAUCUAAGGCUAAAUACGAACACGAGUCCGAUAUUUGACAAGUACCGUGAGGGAAAGCUGAAAAGGACUCUGAAGAGAGAGUUCAAGAGGACGUGAAACCAUUAGAAGCUGAAACGGGUGGAACCGUGAAGGUCGAAAGAGGGGAUUCAGGCUGUGGGCGUGUGUGCUUUGGCAAAAAUGGCUGCUGUGAGAGGACCCGGCGUACCAGUGAGUUGCCGGUGCCGUUUGCCAUGUGCGUGCUUGCCGGCGGCUUUAGUUCUCCCUCGAGUAGGUUAUGUGGCGACCCGCUGUCAGGACCCCGAGGUCCCUUCUGGACUGGUAGCCUAUACCACUGGUGUAGGUGAGGACCGGAUAGGGUACUGGCUGGGUUUUGGCGGCGGUAACUGCAAGGAGGCACUGUGAGAGUGCCUCUCGCCAUGUGAAAGGGAUCGGUAAUCCACCCGA
rnacentral:rRNA from 1 species